rnacentral:miRNA from 1 species
GAGAGAGAGAGAGAGAGAGAGAGAGAGAGAGAGAGAGAGAGGAGAAAUAAAAGUGAAAACAAAAACUUGAAAGUGAAAACAAUUUCAAAUAGAGUUCAGUUUUUAAUUUUCGUUUUCAUUUUUGUUACUCCUCUCUACUAUCCUCCCUUCUCAUCUUCCCUCUCAAUUUUUUC